AUUUUAGUCAAAGUAUUAUGUUGUGACUAGUUCACUUUCAUUUAUGCCAAUAUGCCUUGGUACAACCUUGCAGGUUGAGGAGUUGUAUUCAUUGGACAUUGAUUCUCUUAACAAUCUGAGUUUUUGAGCCCUACAAGGACAGCAAAGUGGAUCUUCUUGGCCCAAAGUUGCCAAUUUGGGGACUUGGCACUUGGUGUGUGGAAGCUUAACACAUUGGGGUUGCUUCCUACACAUGCAUCCGACUGGUUUUCAUCCUUACCCCCUGCUCAG